rnacentral:rRNA from 1 species
GGGAUAACCCGGAGAAAUCCGGACUAAUACCCCAUAAUAUGGGCGCUCCGCAUGGAGAGUUCAUUAAAGAGAGCAAUUUUGGUUACAGACGAGCAUGCGCUCCAUUAGCCAGUUGGCGGGGUAACGGCCCACCAAAGCGACGAUGGAUAGGGGUUCUGAGAGGAAGGUCCCCCACAUUGGAACUGAGACACGGUCCAAACUCCUACGGGAGGCAGCAGUGAGGAAUAUUGGUCAAUGGUCGGCAGACUGAACCAGCCAAGUCGCGUGAGGGAAGACGGCCCUACGGGUUGUAAACCUCUUUUGUCGGAGAGUAAAGUACGCUACGUGUAGCGUAUUGCAAGUAUCCGAAGAAAAAGCAUCGGCUAACUCCGUGCCAGCAGCCGCGGUAAUACGGAGGAUGCGAGCGUUAUCCGGAUUUAUUGGGUUUAAAGGGUGCGUAGGCGGCACGCCAAGUCAGCGGUGAAAUUUCCGGGCUCAACCCGGAGUGUGCCGUUGAAACUGGCGAGCUAGAGUGCACAAGAGGCAGGCGGAAUGCGUGGUGUAGCGGUGAAAUGCAUAGAUAUCACGCAGAACCCCGAUUGCGAAGGCAGCCUGCUAGGGUGAAACAGACGCUGAGGCACGAAAGCGUGGGUAUCGAACAGGAUUAGAUACCCUGGUAGUCCACGCAGUAAACGAUGAAUACUAACUGUUUGCGAUACAAUGUAAGCGGUACAG